rnacentral:rRNA from 1 species
UACGGGGGGAGCAAGCGUUGUUCGGAUUUACUGGGCGUAAAGGGCGCGUAGGCGGCCAGCACAAGUCAGUUGUGAAAUCUCCGAGCUUAACUCGGAAAGGUCAAGUGAUACUGUCGGACUAGAGUACAGAAGGGGCAACUGGAAUUCCCAGUGUAGCGGUGAAAUGCGUAGAGAUUGGGAAGAACACCGGUGGCGAAAGCGCUCUACUGGGCCUGCACUGACACUCAUGGACGAAAGCUAGGGGAGCAAACAGG